UCCGCCAACAGCCACUAUCAAUGCUGUGGAGAGGUCUGGCACUUUUCAGCAAGAUGACAAAGACAGUGAAGUGACAGCUAAGAACUUCCUCACGGUGUUCUCCCACUUCUUCAUUCCUAUUACAUCACCACGACAGGUCAAAUUUCACUGUAAGAAACAAAAGAUCUGUUUGGAUCUGAUUUGCGGGCCUUGCCCACGCCCCACUGACCAAUGGCGUAAGCCUGCUGCCCGUGCUGUUGAACACAACAGUCCUAAGCUUGCUUGAAAUCAGUCCAGCAUUUCCUUCCCAACCGGGCUGGAGAAAGGAAACAGCAGAACCAGGAGUUGCUGCAGACUGGACUUGAGGUAGGUGCAACCCCUAAAGUCAGAGCAAGUCCCUUCAGGCGAAGCAACACUU